UUGAUACCUGUGGAGAGAAAAGGAGAGAGAGUGGGUAACACGAGGAGAGAUCGAGGAAACCUGUACUUACGCCGCUGCCUGUGGAGAGAAAAGGAAAGAGAGAGUGAGUAACACAAGGAGAAACAGAGGAAACCUGUACUUACAGUACGCUGUGUUCAGCCCAGAGGUGAGAGCCAUUCAAAGCAAACUAACUGUGCUAGUGUGCCCAAGUUGAUGCCUGUGGAGAGAAAAGGAGAGAGAGUGAAUAACACGAGGAGAGACCGAGGAAACCUGUACUUACGCCGCUGCCUGUGGAGAAAGAGAAAGCGACCGUUGCCUGUGGAGAAAGAGAAAGAGAGUGAGCACCCAGAGAACGAACUGUGUGAACCAGUACUUACCGUGAGCUGUAUUCAGCGAAGAGGAGGAAGAAGGAGGGCGCUACGGAUACCUAAGACUCAGGCCGGGGCCCGAGUCCCACGCCCCGGAUCCCCGUGGCCCCCUUGCUCCCUGACCUCUUCCCGGCCAUAGCCCAUCUGGAGGGCCGAGUCAGAGUUUAGUUUUUAAUUGCCCUUUCCCUAUUCCCCAAGCUAUUUUUAAAUAUUUAAAUAAAGAUUGUUUUAUCACUUACUUGUUCUCGUGUUGUUUGGCCAUUGGGUUGGCUUUGGGGACCUCCUCGAGGUGGAAGUUGAGAAGGGGUGUGGCUUAGUCAAAGCAUAGCCAGCCCCUGGGUGUGACAUAUACAUAUUUAUUUAUGUGUUUAUUUAGUAAUUUAGCAUGGUAUGGCAGGGUAAAGUUCCAUGGAGGUAAAAGGGAGACCAUAGCAAAUAUAAUUUUUGCAUUCCCAUAUGAUUCAACAUCAAAAGAAAAAAAGAAUCACUAGUUCCAUGACAUUCCAAACGAGACUUUCUCUCUCUCUCUCUCUCUCUCUCUCUCUCUCUCUCUCUCUCUCUCUCUCUCUCUCUCUCUCUCUCUCUCUCUCUCUCUCUCUCUCUCUCUCUCUCUCUCUCUCUCUCUCUCAGUGUGAACCUGGAGGAAGACAACAAGAACUGAGGCAAAAGUAAAAAAAAAAACAUCAAAUACAUCAAGUAAUUUUCUAUUCAUUCUUCGCUUGGCACAUUAAUUCAGAGAAGGAGAGAUCAAGACUACAAUUUUGAGUGAGAGUGAAAGGGCAAUGGAGGUACAUUUUCAGGUUAUUGACUACAAAGGAGGGAAAUACUUGUGUAAAAGCAGUGGAUACCUUCAAAGGACAGUUAGAAAUACAAAACUAAAGUUGAGCCAGCAUUGGUGAAGUAGAAAAGGUUUGUCUCACUGGUGAAAUGUCUCAAUGGUGCUGAGGACACACAACAAAGCAUUGGAGUACAAUUCAAUAACAAAACACUGGUGAUUCUGAAAUAUGUGUCUUUCAAUGUGUGUUCAACCUCUCUCUCUCUCUGAGGUGGUGAAAUAUAUAUAAAAAAAAAAAAAAACCACAGUGCCUUUUUUCUGCAUCUCCAUUAAUUCACCCUCAAUGCUUUAUGAUUUUGUAUCUGUACCAGACUGUUAGUCUGAAGGACAUAUAGACAAUUGUUUGAACGGAGGAGGACUCAGGGGAGGUAGGGGUUCCAGACCACCUUAUGAGCAUAAAAAUUAUUGCUCUUAUCAUUGUGAUUUUAUUUCCCUUUAUCCAACAUUUCAUUAGUGAUUUAAAAUGGAUUUUUGCAAAUAUUUUGUAAAGUGUUUACAGAAUGGGACUGACACUAUGAAUUCUCAUUUUCACACUAACAUAUAUGUUAACUUCAGUACUAUAUCUGCAUUUUUACUUGAUUUGUUAAAACAGGAUAAAUUCAUUUAUUCCACCA
ensembl:lncRNA